CCCUGACAUCAUCGUGCUCAAGGUCUGGGAAGGCACCUGGGGGUUGUGAUCGGCAUCUUGGUGGCCGUCGUCCUCCUGCUCCUCCUCCUCCUCCUCCUGUUCCUCGUCCUCCGACACCGACGUCAGGGCAAACGCUGGACAUCGAGUGAGUAGGGAAUGGGGGGACCCUGAGGGCCGACUGAGGGUGGGCUCAGGGCACAGCCAAAGAGAAUCCAAACCUCUGGGCAAAUGCAGCUUUGAGAAACUGUUCCAGCAUUUCUCACCAGGUGAAUGGAGAAAGCACUUAAUGUCAGUCCCAUCUACAAAUGUAAAGUGUCCUCCGGGCUCAGUCCCAUCUACAAAUGUAAAGUGUCCUUUGGGCUCUGUCCAUCUCAUGAGGUAUUUGGAACAUGGAGGCAGGAGUGUUUUCAGGUUUCCUUCCUUACCUUUGAGCUGUGUGUGCGGGGCGAAGGGGGCUCCAAUGUUCCCAGGGCUGAGGCUCUGUCCUUCUUCCCCCAGCCCAGAGAAAGGCUGAUUUCCAACAUCCUGCAGGGGCUGUGGGGCCAGAGCCCACAGACAGAGGCCUGCAGAGGAGGUCCAGCCCAGCUGCCGAUGCCCAGGAAGAAAACCUCUAUGCUGCCGUGAAGGACACACAGCCUGAGGACGGAGUGGAGCUGGACACUCGGGUGAGGCCCUGC
rnacentral:lncRNA from 1 species